AGUGAACGCUGGCGGCAGGCCUAACACAUGCAAGUCGAGCGGCAGCGCGUCCGACCACCCUCGGGUGGUCGGAUGGCGGCGAGCGGCGGACGGGUGAGGAAUGCAUCGGAAUCUGCCUCGUUGUGGGGGAUAACGUAGGGAAACUUACGCUAAUACCGCAUACGACCUACGGGUGAAAGUGGGGGACCUUCGGGCCUCACGCGAUGAGAUGAGCCGAUGCCGGAUUAGCUAGUUGGCGGGGUAAAGGCCCACCAAGGCGACGAUCCGUAGCUGGUCUGAGAGGAUGAUCAGCCACACUGGAACUGAGACACGGUCCAGACUCCUACGGGAGGCAGCAGUGGGGAAUAUUGGACAAUGGGGGCAACCCUGAUCCAGCCAUGCCGCGUGUGUGAAGAAGGCCUUCGGUUGUAAGCACUUUGUUGGG
rnacentral:rRNA from 1 species